rnacentral:rRNA from 1 species
GAUCCUGGCUCAGAUUGAACGCUGGCGGCAUGCCUUACACAUGCAAGUCGAACGGCAGCACGGGAGCAAUCCUGGUGGCGAGUGGCGAACGGGUGAGUAAUAUAUCGGAACGUGCCCAGUCGUGGGGGAUAACGCAGCGAAAGCUGUGCUAAUACCGCAUACGAUCUCUGGAUGAAAGCGGGGGACUCGCAAGAGCCUCGCGCGAUUGGAGCGGCCGAUAUCAGAUUAGGUAGUUGGUGGGUAAAGGCUCNCCAAGCCAACGAUCUGUAGCUGGUCUGAGAGGACGACCAGCCACACUGGAACUGAGACACGGUCCAGACUCCUACGGGAGGCAGCAGUGGGGAAUUUUCCGCAAUGGGCGAAAGCCUGACGGAGCAAUACCGCGUGAGGGAAGAAUGCCUAUGGGUUGUAAACCUCUUUUUUCAGGGAGGAAUAAAAUGACGUGUACCUGAAGAAUAAGCAUCGGCUAACUACGUG